CUGAUCUUUCUCUUUUU
rnacentral:tRNA from 1 species